rnacentral:rRNA from 1 species
GAUGAAUGCUGGCGGCGUGCCUAAUACAUGCAAGUCGAGCGAACAGAUGAGGAGCUUGCUCCUCUGACGUUAGCGGCGGACGGGUGAGUAACACGUGGAUAACCUACCUAUAAGACUGGGAUAACUUCGGGAAACCGGAGCUAAUACCGGAUAAUAUAUUGAACCGCAUGGUUCAAUAGUGAAAGACGGUUUUGCUGUCACUUAUAGAUGGAUCCGCGCCGCAUUAGCUAGUUGGUAAGGUAACGGCUUACCAAGGCAACGAUGCGUAGCCGACCUGAGAGGGUGAUCGGCCACACUGGAACUGAGACACGGUCCAGACUCCUACGGGAGGCAGCAGUAGGGAAUCUUCCGCAAUGGGCGAAAGCCUGACGGAGCAACGCCGCGUGAGUGAUGAAGGUCUUCGGAUCGUAAAACUCUGUUAUUAGGGAAGAACAAAUGUGUAAGUAACUAUGCACGUCUUGACGGUACCUAAUCAGAAAGCCACGGCUAACUACGUG